CUUGAUCGCUUCGCUAGUAAGGCCGUCCGCCGUAAGGAAAAUUGCCGUAUUCACACUGUUUCCAUUUUUUGCCGCUGCGAAAGAUUUUGGCGCUAGUUAUCGGGAACAUCGUUUGCAGCAGCUCAUUUCUUGAUUGUCAAAAGUUUUCAACCUGCUUUAAUGAGAAAAAUAUUUAAAUGCAGCGACGUCUCCAAACUCCUCUAUACUCUCCACCUGAAUCGCUGA
rnacentral:lncRNA from 1 species